GCCAGGGCUGUGUUUGAAUCAUGCUGGCUCUGCCCCUGAUCUGCCUCUUUGUCAGUCUCCACCAAUCCUAUGGGGAAGCACUGUGAUUGGAUCAGGCUACCACAUGUCAGCAGACUGCUUGUUUUUCUGAGUCAAACAGCAUGCAGAUUUACAGCUUCAGGUUUGAAUACAGUAAGCUUUUUACUAUAUGUAUGAAGGCAUGAGGGGCCCAAGGGGGCUA
rnacentral:lncRNA from 1 species